AAACUUUCAACAACGGAUCUCUUGGUUCUGGCAUCGAUGAAGAACGCAGCGAAAUGCGAUAAGUAAUGUGAAUUGCAGAAUUCCGUGAAUCAUCGAAUCUUUGAACGCACAUUGCGCCCCUUGGUAUUCCGGGGGGCAUGCCUGUUCGAGCGUCAUUU
rnacentral:rRNA from 1 species